GAGAAUAUAUUAAUUAGAGAGUGACAUAUGGCGAUUGGUAUUGGAGAAGGCAGAUGUAGAACUCUUGCCUCAUUUGGUUUUAAGCUAUAAGAGCACAUUGUAGAAUUUCUACAACCCAAAUUUAGAAAUUAUAUUUAGUAGUAUUUUUUUUUGGUGAGAUUCUUUUUUUUAUGCUCUUUCUUGUUGUGAUGACAAGAAAUUCGUCUUCAUUGGAAAAUACAAAUUGACGAAACAAAGUUGCUGAUAUAUGGGCUCCAGACUUC
rnacentral:lncRNA from 1 species